UUUACCUCGGCCCUCGAGGGUGCCUCUGCCCGUGCCUGGGCCAGCGUCCAAUAACCUUUCCCUCGUGGCAUCUACAGCAACAGCCCUGCCGCCCCUUCCGACUCUGUCCCCAGCGCCCCCACAAUAGCACAGACAUUUCUUGCUAUGUUACUCUUUUGGUCUUCUUCUCGAACCUCCUCUCACUCCCCGUCCCCCUGACACUGGGCCAUCUUCCUCUGCCAGCCCUUCGCUGUUGUUCCGUAAGUUUCCCUGGGUUUCCUCCUCCGUCAUCUUUAUGCCCAUGGCAGUCAGAAGGAUCUCCCGCUCCCUCUGCACCUCACCCCACUUCUCUCCCUGGGCCACCUCGCCUCGUGGUACAGGGCAGCCAAGUCAUUCAAGCCAACUGCCGAAUGAACGAGGGCUACACAGCACCUGCCCAAGUCUGUGUUUCGAUGCCUCGAGCCUGAUGCCUCCAACUAACAUAGAAAUGCCAAGGCCCAGCAUGCUACCCUGGCCAUCCUACACCUUUGUUGAGAUCCAGAGGCUCAUGGACUUAAAAGUUCUUCAAAAAUGAAGCCAGCUAGCUUCUACCCCCAUACCACAGCAGCCCUGCACUGAUUGGUGCUCCCUGAACUCAGUGGCUCUGCCUCAGCAAGGAUAUGGUCUGAAGGACAGGUAUGGAGGCAGAAGAAGGUGAGUCAUGGCGGGGUGAUGGGCCUCACUACUAAUCUCAUCUUCCCAACAUCAAUUUCACCCAGGGCGGUGGACGAGGAUCCCCUAGUGGUUCCGUACGGUGAGGUUCUGUAGUUGCAGGAUGUGGUCUCCUCCUUCAAGUCCAUCUUUACGCAGAAGGCUGAGGGGGGAGGUGGCCAAGAAGCUCGCUUUUGUUUUUGCCUGACACCCCCUGGAGUAUCACUGUCCCAGGAGCCCCUUUGGACAUAGCCGUCUUAUGUUUGGGGCUAGGGUUCGUCUGCGGGUCCCACUGAAAAUAUUUAUUAGAGACAAGUAUCCAAGGAAGGAGGAAAACAGCAAUAACUGAAUAUGUGGGUUUGCUACCCACAGAAUGAGGCCAGGGAGGUUUCUGUGCAGGAACAGGUAGCUUGGGCUUGCAGGAGUCAUACAAGGAGUGAUGCCUUCAGACAACUGACUCCCAAGUUCCAUUUUCCCUGCACAGGUAAGGAACCAUCACACACUUGACUUUGCCUCCCCAGAGGCCAACUCACGAGGAGGAAUGGGCUUCCCUUGCUUCUUCCCAGGCAGAGCCGAGGUGACUCCAUGAGGCUGGGAGCUCUGCCUCUCGCUGAAGUCCAGAAGAAAACAUGUCUAUGGCCUCAGACAUGACAGAGUCUCCCUUGGCCUCGGCCGGUAUUUGACAGUCUCAACCCCACCUGCAGAGGUGCCUGUGAGAAAGGCUCUUGUUCCCACCCUAACACA